rnacentral:rRNA from 1 species
UGGGGAAUAUUGCGCAAUGGACGAAAGUCUGACGCAGCAGCCCCGCGUGAGUGAAGAAGGCCUUCGGGUUGUAAAGCUCUUUCGGCUGGGAAGAAGGUAAUAAGGGCGAAUAGUCCUUACUAUUGAUGGUACCAGAAGAAGAAGCACCGGCAAACUUCGUGCCAGCAGCCGCGGUAAUACGAAGGGUGCGAGCGUUGUUCGGAAUUAUUGGGCGUAAAGGGUUCGUAGGCGGGAUAAUAAGUCAAGUGUGAAAUCCCCGAGCUUAACUCGGGAAGUGCACUUGAAACUGUCAUUCUUGAGUCAUUGAGAGGGUGGUGGAAUUGUUGGUGUAGGAGUGACAUCCGUAGAGAUCAACAGGAACAUCAGAGGCGAAAGCGGCCACCUGGCAAUGCACUGACGCUGAGGAACGAAAGCGUGGGGAGCAAACAGG